CGCUUUACAUUCAAUGUCAUUGUCUGUUUAGAACGUUAUCUUGCCCAGGUUGAAGUCUUGGGUUUGGAAGGUUGUUUUAGAAGAACACAGUGGUUCUGCAAAGAAAUCAACUUGUAUGAGGAAGUGACAGCAGCCGCCAAGUCAGCCAGCAGUGUAGCCGCUGAUUUAGCAAAAGCUAGCAUGGGGAUAUCGAGCUCAAAAAACAAAGGUGUUUUCAUUUGAAUUGGGUUUGAUCUGUUAAUUUCAAUUUCUAUCUUCUGCAACUGGCAUCUAUUCCUCUCUAUAUCACUCGCACACCUUUUUGUUGAAUUUUCUUUGUGAAUUAUCUUGUCCUCUGCUAUUUAUUUAUUUUUUUAAUCAAUGUUUAAUCGUUCUUAAUUUAUUCUUUCUCAUCGAGGCAGUACUUUGAGGUCUUAGUGAAACGUUUGGACAUCCAAGUAGCAGAAAUGAGGUCAAUAAUUCAUGUAAUUCGGAAGCUGGUGGGCACAGGAGAGGCUGCUCCAUCAUCAUACAAAAAGCUAGUAAAAUGUAAUCAGCCCACAUUUAGAAACGGUAGGUUGUCAAAUUGUUUAAUUAAACAAAAUUGUUGGUCAGUUUUUUGCUAGUUCUAUUCUUCCUUCUUUUCUUUUCUUUUUUUUUUUCCUUGUUUGCCGUGACUUUAAUAACUUCAUAAGUCCACAUGUUACAGACAUACCUUUUUUCGGGUUUAUCCUUGAAUGGGCAUGUAUUACAUUUUAACCAGAAUAAAUCUUUUUUUGCUUUUAUUUUUCUUAUCAGAAUAAGUUUAUUUUUCUCGUCUCAUGGUUCUCACCAUUGAUAAAAAUCAGGAAUGAAUAGAAAUCACUAUUUCACAUCUUUGAAAUUCUAAUAGCAGUUACUUUGAUUCUAUCAUGUUUAAUUUGUUAACUUAUUCAUGUCAAAUCUUUUGGUGUUCUGAGAUGUCACCGUUCUUCCAUAUUAGAUGCUUUUCUGAUGCUUACUCUAUGUUUUGGUGCAAUCAGGACCGCAUAAUACACCUGAAAAUGGAUCUGUUGUUGACAGCAAAGUAGCUAUGAACUCUCUUGGAAGUUUAGCAGUGAAAAAGAAGAUGCUUAUACUUAAAGUGCUCAUUAUCACAAAUCUGUGCCUUUUCUCACAUAUUUCUUUCUUUUCAUUCAGAAAGCUAAAAUAAAUGGCACGUCCAACUUUGACGGCUCAGGUUGGUUCUUGAUUUAAUUUUCAUUAUUAUUAUUUCCAGAUAUUCUGCUAAACCUGUUUGUUAUUAUCACAAUUGCAUCUCUUUUACAGUGAUACCUUCCUCAUCACCUGCAUCUGUGAGGUCUUCUGUUGGUCAGUAUCCGAAUUCCUGUAUGGAUAUAAUUGCUUUAAUGAAUUUUGUACGUCAUACGAUGGUGAUACGCUGCA
rnacentral:lncRNA from 1 species